UGGAAUGUGGCAGGAAAAUGGAGCUCCAGGGAGAAACUGAAACACCCACGUGGAGAAUGUUCCGACAGCAGCAGGAGUUAAACCCAGGUUACUGGUAAUGUAACAGCGAGGUGCUGACUGCUACGCUACCACACUGCCUCUUCGGCUUUACAUAAAAGCCCUUCACUAUGCAAACAACGAGCCUACAUCCUGAAGCCAGAGCAAAGCAUGAAAGACUAUUCCACAGACAAACAAAGUUCAAACGCUGCAGACUUCUGAAAAUUCCAGGCAGUACAAAGGCUGGGACUUUCUUGAUGUAUAUCCAUCUUGGCUGCGUAGGAUCUAAAGAUCUAAUUUUGCACGGACAGCACAAAUGCCGAGUAACAACACACAAAGUGCCGCAGGAACUCAGCAGUCCAGGCAGCAUCUAAGGAAAAGAGAACAGUCAACGUUUCGGGCCGAGACCCUUCAACAGGACUGGGAAUGCCCAGCAGCACAGCUUAAAUUUGAUGAGUCCUUCUUCAAUAUACAACUCUUCCGUCACCCUUUGAAGAUAAACCUGGCUGUACACUAGACAGAGGUCUGCCUCAGUAAGGAAGGAAAGGUACGGGGCUUUAUUAGGUGCUGGGGAAGUAAUAGAAUCAUUCACAGAAGUCGGAGAAGAGGAGACUCGGAGCCUGUCCACCUAAACCGAGGACAAGGUCUGAUCGAUCUAAGCUUUGGGCCAAUUUGGAAAAGUCAGGUACGAACUGAAACAUGGCGGCAGGGUGCAGGCUCAAAGCGUUUCAAUGUGACAGGGCCUGGGUCUAGAGCGAGCAACGACCCGACGUUUGGCAACUUAAACGUCAGGACCGGACGUGAGGGUUGGGCCGGUUCUGCUCGCUGCUCCUUGAUAUUUACGCUGCACAUCGCUGCACUGAGGCUGAGGCUGCGGGCCUACUCUGGCUGCUCUGAGCUUUGUG